GGUUAUUUUCUGCUAUUGGGUUGUGCAUCAAUGUCUGGAGUGAUGAUAGGGUGUUCUGCUGUGUCCUGUUGGGUGGGGAGAAGUGUCUCAGGUGUGUUGUGUUCCUCGGGCAGGUGUUGGCUGGGCCCAGGAUAUCUUGGGUGUUUUCAUCUGUCUGAGUUUCCGAGAUCUGGUUUUGUGUCUUGUUGGUCUGUUGUAGGUAGGUUUGCCACAUUGUGGUUGUUUGAGG